rnacentral:tRNA from 1 species
GGGCCGUUAGCUCAGUCGGUAGAGCAGUUGACUUUUAAUCAAUUGGUCGCAGGUUCGAAUCCCGCACGGCCCACCA